AGUGGCGAAAGGGGCAGUAAUGCAUGGGUAACCUACCUUCAGGUCGUGAAUAGCCUAUCUAACGAUUGGGUAAUACACGGCGUGGUCAUUUAGCGGCAUCACCGAAUGACUAAAGAAUUUCGCCUGAAGAGGGGCCCAUGUCGUAUCAGCUAGUUGGUGAGGUAACGGCUCACCAAGGCGAAAACGCGUAGCGGGUGUGAGAGCACGACCCGCGCCACUGGCACUGAGACACUGGCCAGACUCCUACGGGAGGCUGCAGUCGAGGAUCUUUGGCAAUGAGCGCAAGCUUGACCAAGCGACGCCGCGUGUGCGAUGAAGGCCUUCGGGUUGUAAAGCACUGUCGAGGGGGAGGAAGCCGCAAGGUUGACCUAUCCCUGGAGGAAGCACGGGCUAAGUUCGUGCCAGCAGCCGCGGUAAGACGAACCGUGCGAACGUUGUUCGGAAUCACUGGGCUUAAAGGGCGCGUAGGCGGGUUCACAAGUCUGUGGUGAAAUCCUCCAGCUUAACUGGAGAAGUGCCAUGGAUACUGUGGGUCUUGAGGAGGGUAGGGGCAUCUGGAACUGCCGGUGGAGCGGUGAAAUGCGUUGAUAUCGGCAGGAACUCCGGUGGCGAAGGCGAGAUGCUGGAUCCUUUCUGACGCUGAGGCGCGAAAGCCAGGGGAGCAAACGGGAUUAGAUACCCCGGUAGUCCUGGCCCUAAA
rnacentral:rRNA from 1 species